AGAACUUAAAGUAUAAUAAUAAAAAAAAAGAUUGGGAAAUGAACAAUCCAAAAAUAGAAUUAACAGUCCCACUUAUAACAUCAACAAAAGGAAAAAUGGACCCAUCAUCAGUCACCAAGACCUGAGAACAGAGAGUGGCAGCCCCUUCACACAGGCGGCAGAGCAAGGAAGCUGUCAGCCGGCGAGCCUCCUGGAGUAUACCUGAGAUGGGCAGAACUGGGGACAUCAGUUCUCUACAGCAGCCCUGCAAUGAGGGGCUGGAGUGGUAUAGAAAAAAUUCCAACGCUUUUUGCUGACACACGUGACAUUUGGUGCCAAAGACCCGGGGGAGGGGGACUCCUUCGGGAGACCAGUCCCCUGUCCUCACCCUCACUCCAUGAGGAGAUCCACCUACCAUCUUGGGUCCUCAGACCAACCAGCCCAAGGAACAUCUCACCAAUUUCAAAUCAGCCUUGGAAACUGCUUUUUUCAUGGAUGUGCAACCUGUGAAUCAGGAGAUCUCACUCAUGAGCCCACACCACCAGGGCCUUAGGUCCCAACCACAGAGCUGCACAGUCUCAACAGCGGUUGGGCCGGAGUCUGCCUAAGACUACCGAGUUCUGGGGAGGAGGGCCAGCCAUCAUCACUGCAACUGCAGCUGCCUGCUGCUUACGACGUCUGAGCUCCCAUCACUGCGGCUGCCUAAAAGGCUGAACCCCCACUGGGGAAGGGCAACAGCCAUCACUACAGCUCGGGGCUGCCGUUUUUCCCCUGCUGGUGCCAGGGAGAUUGGAUGUCUUGGACCCAGAAGGUAUUCCCCACAGUGGAGCACACCAGUUGUGGCAGAUUGUGGACUCUGCCUCUUUAGGCUGGACCCUGACCCAUCCCUCCUCACUGGGCGAGGCCUCCCUGCAGGAACUUCAGCUACCCCAGCCAGGGCCUUAGGGAAAAGAUUCUGAUCUCCCUGAGCCUGAGCCCCUAGUGGGAGGGGUGGCCAUGGCCUUCACAAACCAGCAGACUUACUUUCCUCCACUAGCUCUGAGGAAUCCAGGCAGCCCAGAUGAGUGGGUUUCCCCCCAGCACAGCACAUCCCCUCCACCAAGGGACAACUAGAGUGUUUCAUUAAGUGGGUCCCGGAUCCUGUGCCCCGCGACUGGGUGAGACCCCCACCAACCAGGGGUCACCAGACACCUUAUACAGAAGCGUUCCUACCAGCAUCAGGUCAGUGCCCCUCGAGGACAGAGAUCCCAGAGGAAGGAGCAGGCAUCCAUCUUUGCUGUUCUCCAGCUUCCUCGGGUGACAUCUCCAGCUGCAGAAGGGACCCAGGUGAAUAGGGCCUGAAGUGAACCCUCAGCAAACUGCAGCAGUCCUACAGAAGAGGGGCCUGACUGUUAAAGAAAAACAAACUAACAGAAAGCAACAACAGCAUCAACAAAGAAGUCACCACAAAAACUUCAUCCAAAGGUCAGCAGCCUCAAACUAGACAAACUUAUGAAGAUGAGAAAGAAUGAAUGAAAAAAAACACUGAAAGGAAAUUAAAUUUUGGGACCCCAAAUGCAUCUGGCUAAAAGGAAGAGUCAAGCUGGGAACUGGGUCAUGCAAACUUGCCUCCCACUUUCAGUUCCUAAAUAAGAUGGCUACAAGAUGAAAAGCUACAUGCCUCCCCCAUAUUUGCCCACAAGGAUAUUCCUAGUGAAUGGUUAAAACUUCACCAUGGCAAUGCAAAUUGAUAGCUUAUCUUUCCAGGUGCUGUCAUCCUGGCCCACAGACACUAAUGCAUAUCUGAUUGUUUCCCUACCACAUUCUGUUUGUGUUAUCUUAUGUAAAAUGCUGAUUCCCCACAUUUUUCCUCUGCCCCUUUUAUGUCCUUGUAUGUAAAAAUGCAGAUUCACUUGCAUGAAAACUGUAUACUUCUCAAUAUCCCACCCUUUCCCCUUUAAAUUUGGAGCCCUUAAAAUCAUCUUCAGAGAAAGGCAUAGACCUGUUUCCCGGGUGCAUCCUUAACUUUGGCAAAUAAAUCUCCUAAAAUGAUUGAGACUUUUCUUGUCAUUUUCCUUGAUUAACAGUCAGCAGCCUCAAAGAUUGAAACUAGACAAACUCAUAUAGAUGAGAAAGAAUCAAUGAAAAAACGCUGAAAACUGAAAAGGCCAGAGUGCCUCUCCUCCUCCAAAUGAUCACAACUCCUCUCCAGCAAGGGUACAGAACUGGGUGGAGGCUGAGAUGGAUGAGUUGACAGAAGGCUUCAGAAAGUAGGUAAUAAACUUUGCUAAGCUAAAGGAGCAUGUUUAACCCAAUGCAAAGAAGCCAAGAACCAUGAUAAAGGGUCAUAGGAGCUGCUAACUAGAAUAACCAGUUUAGAGAGGAACAUAAAUGACCCGAUGGAGCUGAAGAACACAGCACAAGAACUUCGUGAUGCGAACACAGGUAUCAAGCAGAAGGAUAAAUAUCAGAGCUUGAAUACUAUCUUGCUGAAAUAAGGCAAGCAGACAAGACUGAGAAAAAAAGAAUGAAAAGGAAUG
rnacentral:lncRNA from 10 species